rnacentral:rRNA from 1 species
UACAGAGGUCCCAAGCGUUGUUCGGAUUCAUUGGGCGUAAAGGGUGCGUAGGCGGCGCGGUAAGUCGGGUGUGAAAUCUCCGGGCCUAACCCGGAAACUGCGUUGGAUACUAUCCGGCUAGAGGAAUGGAGGGGAGACUGGAAUACUUGGUGUAGCAGUGAAAUGCGUAGAUAUCAAGUGGAACACCAGUGGCGAAGGCGAGUCUCUGGACAUUUCCUGACGCUGAGGCACGAAAGCCAGGGGAGCAAACGGG